GUGUUUGAUCCUGGCAGAGGCUACUGCUAUUGGGAUUCGAUUAAUCCUCCAAGUCGAACGAGUUUAGACUCGUGGCGUACGGCUCAGUAACACGUGGAUAACCUACCCUUAGGACUGGGAUAACCUUGGGAAACUGAGGCUAAUACCGGAUAGGCAAUUUUUCCUGUAAUGGUUUUUUGUUUAAAUGUUUUUUCGCCUAAGGAUGGGUCUGCGGCCGAUUAGGUAGUUGGUUAGGUAAUGGCUUACCAAGCCGUUGAUCGGUACGGGUUGUGAGAGCAAGAGCCCGGAGAUGGAACCUGAGACAAGGUUCCAGGCCCUACGGGGUGCAGCAGGCGCGAAACCUCCGCAAUGUGAGAAAUCGCGACGGGGGGAUCCCAAGUGCCAUUCUUAACGGGAUGGCUUUUCAUUAGUGUAAAGAGCUUUUGGAAUAAGAGCUGGGCAAGACCGGUGCCAGCCGCCGCGGUAACACCGGCAGCUCUAGUGGUAGCAAUUUUUAUUGGGCCUAAAGCGUCCGUAGCCGGUUUAAUAAGUCUCUGGUGAAAUCCUGUAGCUUAACUGUGGGAAUUGCUGGAGAUACUAUUAGACUUGAGACCGGGAGAGUUAGAGGUACUCCCAGGGUAGAGGUGAAAUUCUGUAAUCUUGGGAGGACCGCCUGUUGCAAAGGCUCUACCUGAACGGUUCUGACGUGAGCGAUAUAUUUAGGCCCCGACCGUAUAAUACCCGGUAGCCUACUGUAAACAUCUACUUGUGUUGGUCGUCUGACCUCCAUGCCAGAGACUUUUAUCCACCCUGGUUCCGUCCAAAUGACUUAGGAUGCGGGACACCACCGUGGCUCGGUAUGAUACCCGUAUUCAAGCCCUGUAUACGGUAUUUCUGCUCAAGGUUCGCCUCUCCCUGGCUUUAUGAGAACACAUCCGCCUGGAAUAUGCAUCUUAUAUUCCGCUAGGGAAGUCAUUUACUUUGGAACCUCCUGAAGGCUUCGGGCCACCCUCUCCCACGUACAGAGCCUUAUGAAUACUUUAUGGNGGNNNUUUGUUGCUUUUCCUUCGCUCNUUCAU
rnacentral:rRNA from 1 species